CUCAUGGGGAGAGGGGUGGAUCUUGCUGAGUCUACAGCAUUUGUCCAAAUGUGACCAUCGGACCACAUGUGUAAGAAGUAACAGGGAUUGCCUAUUAAAAUGUAGGUUCCUUGGACCCAUCUCAGGCCUACAUAAUCAGAGCUAAUAAGUCCUCUAGGUGCUGUUGAGAGCAACGACAGGCCUCAGCCUCUGACUGCAGAGUGGUCUGCGCGAGGAUUUGGGCUCCUUAAGAUGUUUUUAAAUGCAAAAGCCCUGGAAACAGGAACUGAAAGAAUCCUGAAGAGAUGUCUGUGCGCCCGUGCUCACGGCAACGUUAUUCAUAGGAGCCGAGAGGUGGAGACAGCGCAGAUCUCCAUCAACAGUUUUUCUCCCCAGUGUAACCGCUGGUCUGUUGUGAGUUCUGCCGCAGGCUUUCCCUGUGCGUGUAUAUAUCAGCCUCUGUGUAAGGCGUCAUCCUACGUCUUGUUUUUUCAUUUUCU
rnacentral:lncRNA from 1 species